UGAAGUUAACGCCUGGGGAAAAUUCUACCUUCCCGAGAUUGUAAAAAUGCAGGUUAUUGGUGUGGUAAAGGGCACCUCAUGUCCAUGUGACGAGCUUGUGCUGAUGACGCGUGAGGACAAAAAGCUGUACGGCUAUGACGGAGAGGAGCUGCAUCUGGUGGCUUCCAGUUUCCUGGAACUAUGUGACAAAACGAUAGAGUAUCCAGCAUCCAAGCGCUACUACAAUGGAGAGGCCUUCAAAGAUAUGACUGAGGAGGACUGGAAAAAAGUUAAGAUGAGUGAUGUGGGGAGGAAACUGCAGGAAGAACAUAAAAAGCUGGUAAAUGAAACCCAGUCAGCGUUCGUAAGCCUAAUAUCAUAGAUUCUGGUAUUUGGCCAAAAGAGAGCUUCACAAUUCUUGGCUUCACCUGUGGUAGAAAAAUGACUAAAGUUAUGCAACACUCUCUAAAAUUAAAGCUAUGCAACGCUUUAACAUGAAUGGCGAAGGAGUGCAUCUCUUUCACUGUCUCUUCCUGUCCUCUUCUCAGUCUUUGUUGUGGCACCUCUGCUAUGUGUUAUAGAAAGCACUUGGAAUCAUGUUCAAUACAAAAACACCAAACUCGUGGGAUUGCCCUAGCAAGCAGUUGGUAAAAACUAAUUAAAACUGAUAUAUAUCAGCUUCACUUUCUAGCUGCAAAAGCACGUUUCUGCAAAAGCAUGCAG